GGACCAUGGCUCAGUGGUAGAGCAUCUGCUUUGGCGCAUGCAGAAGGUUGCAGGUUCAAUUCCCAGCAUCUCCA
rnacentral:tRNA from 1 species